rnacentral:rRNA from 1 species
AGAGUUUGAUCCUGGCUCAGGAUGAACGCUGACAGAAUGCUUAACACAUGCAAGUCUUUGGCAAAGCUGUGCUUGCACAGCCAAGCCAAGGCGGACGGGUGAGUAACGCGUAAAGAACUUGCCCCGCAGACAGGGAUAACAGACGGAAACGACUGAUAAAACCUGAUAUAAUUGCCGGUACGCAUGUGCCCGGCAAUGAAAAGAGAUGCUGCGGGAGAGCUUUGCGUCCUAUUAGCUGGUUGGCGGGGUAACGGCCCACCAAGGCGAUGAUAGGUAGCCGGCCUGAGAGGGUGAACGGCCACAAGGGGACUGAGAUACGGCCCUUACUCCUACGGGAGGCAGCAGUGGGGAAUAUUGGACAAUGGGGGCAACCCUGAUCCAGCAAUUCUGUGUGCACGAAGAAGGUUUUCGGAUUGUAAAGUGCUUUCAGCAGGGAAGAAGAGAAUGACGGUACCUGCAGAAGAAGCGACGGCUAAAUACGUG